rnacentral:rRNA from 1 species
UACGAAGGGUGCAAGCGUUAAUCGGAAUUACUGGGCGUAAAGCGUGCGUAGGCGGUGAGUUAAGUCUGUCGUGAAAUCCCCGGGCUCAACCUGGGAAUGGCGAUGGAUACUGGCUCGCUAGAGUGUGAUAGAGGAUGGUGGAAUUCCCGGUGUAGCGGUGAAAUGCGUAGAGAUCGGGAGGGACAUCAGUGGCGAAGGCGGCCAUCUGGAUCAACACUGACGCUGAGGCACGAAAGCGUGGGGAGCAAACAGG